rnacentral:misc_RNA from 1 species
AACGGUCUAUACCUGCGGUACCUGCGGAAGGAUCAUUAUUGAAAAGCCUUGAUGGGUUUGUAGCUGGCCUCUGGAUAGCGGCAUGUGCACGGCCUGUCUUGACUUCCAUUCAUCCAACUGUGCACUUUGCGUAGUCUUCUUGGGAAUAUAUGGAGAACUUGGGGUCGCUGAACUCAGUCUAGACUGGAUGUGAGGUCUGCCCACUGAGGGCUCUCCUCUGUGACCACAGAUCUCCCCCAA